rnacentral:pre_miRNA from 1 species
UUUUAUAGAUGAGCAAAGUGAGUGGUUCCUUGAGAUGGAAUCUACUCCCGGUGAAGGUGCUGUGAA